rnacentral:lncRNA from 1 species
CUCAGCACACGCCCUGCCCAAGCUCUUCUUCCAGCCCAAAUCCCCAGCCAGCAGCAGCACAAGACAUCUAUCCAGCAAUGGCGUCCACCUCCUGCUUCCUCCACCAGUCCACCGCCCGCCUCGCCGCCUCCGCCCGCCCCUCCGCCGCCCGCACCCAGAUCCUCGUCUGCAAGGCCCAGCAGCACGACUCCUCCGACGCCGCCACCACCCGCCGCGCCGCCCUCUCCCUCCUCGCCGGCGCCGCCGCCGCCGCCUCCCUCAAGGUCUCCCCCGCCUCCGCCGCCUACGGCGAAGCCGGUACGUAACAGAGAUCUUACCCGCCGUUUGGUCCCAACAGAUCUCUCUCUAAUUUGGUUGAUUUCUCUGUAUGUGCAGCGAAUGUGUUUGGGAAGCAGAAGAGCACGGAGUUCGUGGCGUAC